AAAGUGCAUAGGUUAGCACGUCACCUUU
rnacentral:sRNA from 1 species